UACGAAGGGUGCAAGCGUUAGUCGGAAUUACUGGGCGUAAAGCGUGCGUAGGCGGUCUCUUAAGUCCGUUGUGAAAUCCCUGGGCUCAACCCAGGAACUGCACUCGAAACUACUAUUCUUGAGUGUCGGAGAGGAAAGCGGAAUUCCUGGUGUAGAGGUGAAAUUCGUAGAUAUCAGGAGGAACACCAGUGGCGAAGGGCGGCUUUCUGGAC
rnacentral:rRNA from 1 species